AUUGAACGCUGGCGGCAGGCUUAACACAUGCAAGUCGAGCGGGGUGAUGGUGCUUGCACUAUCACUUAGCGGCGGACGGGUGAGUAAUGCUUAGGAAUCUGCCUAUUAGUGGGGGACAACAUCUCGAAAGGGAUGCUAAUACCGCAUACGUCCUACGGGAGAAAGCAGGGGAUCACUUGUGACCUUGCGCUAAUAGAUGAGCCUAAGUCGGAUUAGCUAGUUGGUGGGGUAAAGGCCUACCAAGGCGACGAUCUGUAGCGGGUCUGAGAGGAUGAUCCGCCACACUGGGACUGAGACACGGCCCAGACUCCGACGGGAGGCAGCAGUGGGGAAUAUUGGACAAUGGGGGGAACCCUGAUCCAGCCAUGCCGCGUGUGUGAAGAAGGCCUUAUGGUUGUAAAGCACUUUAAGCGAGGAGGAGGCUUACCUAGUUAAUACCCAAGAUGAGUGGACGUUACUCGCAGAAUAAGCACCGGCUAACUCUGUGCCAGCCGCCGCCGUAA
rnacentral:rRNA from 1 species